UUGCUACUUUGCUGACGAGCGGCGGACGGGUGAGUAAUGCUUGGGAACAUGCCUUGAGGUGGGGGACAACAGUUGGAAACGACUGCUAAUACCGCAUAAUGUCUACGGACCAAAGGGGGCUUCGGCUCUCGCCUUUAGAUUGGCCCAAGUGGGAUUAGCUAGUUGGUGAGGUAAUGGCUCACCAAGGCGACGAUCCCUAGCUGGUUUGAGAGGAUGAUCAGCCACACUGGGACUGAGACACGGCUCAGACUCCUACGGGAGGCAGCAGUGGGGAAUAUUGCACAAUGGGCGCAAGCCUGAUGCAGCCAUGCCGCGUGUGUGAAGAAGGCCUUCGGGUUGUAAAGCACUUUCAGUCAGGAGGAAAGGUUAGUAGUUAAUACCUGCUAGCUGUGACGUUACUGACAGAAGAAGCACCGGCUAACUCCGUGCCAGCAGCCGCGGUAAUACGGAGGGUGCGAGCGUUAAUCGGAAUUACUGGGCGUAAAGCGUACGCAGGCGGUUUGUUAAGCGAGAUGUGAAAGCCCCGGGCUCAACCUGGGAACUGCAUUUCGAACUGGCAAACUAGAGUGUGAUAGAGGGUGGUAGAAUUUCAGGUGUAGCGGUGAAAUGCGUAGAGAUCUGAAGGAAUACCGAUGGCGAAGGCAGCCACC
rnacentral:rRNA from 1 species